CGUAGGAUUCUGGGGCACCCAUCUUUGCCCCGCUUGCGAUAAGUCCUUCUGUUAGCGUCUUUGUUCCUCCAGGAUUCUCUGAGCCUGACGGGCUCACCGUCGCUCUCACCCAGGUCAUCUGGUCCCGCCUUCUCUGGGCCCUGGCUGGCAUUCUUCUCGCCGAGAGCUUUCUCUCCCUGUUGUGUCCCCUCGUUUGUCUUGUUCUGUGUCACGGGUGUCUGGGUAUUGGGCCCGAAGCUGCUCUGCCCUGCUGCACAGCCUGGUGUAGGUAUCAUAGGACAAGUCCUGGGGCCUGGGGAGUUGUAAUGCAGGCUGUAGCUGGACUCUAGAUGGCAUUUGUCGAUUGACACAAGAUGUCUGGAAGGCCUAAGUCAUCCUGCAGCCCUCUGACCCCUGUCCUCCCAUUCUUUCAGGUGCUGGCAGAUGAAAUCCGUGGCGGAGCGCCCCGUGGAGGGUGAGUGAUUCCCCUGAGCAGGACAUAAAGCCGAACCUGAGGAGUCAAGGCGGUCCAUGGGUAUCACGCCGAGACCCCAUCAGCGAGUGGCCGACAGACCCGGUUCGUCGCUCUCGUGGGAACUCGCUAAGCGGUACGGGGCUCUGUGAUGGUGCCGUGACCUUUGCCAUUUGAAGGUGACGCCUGGAGAGCCUUCAGGAAGG